GGGAUAUUAAUAUUCUUCUUGUUGGUGAUCCUGGAACCAGCAAGUCCCAGCUGCUCCAGUACAUACACAAGCUUGCUCCCCGUGGCAUAUACACUAGUGGAAGAGGGAGUUCUGCUGUUGGUUUGACUGCUUAUGUUGCGAAGGAUCCUGAAACAGGGGAAACCGUAAGAUAUAUCUUGUUUUUUUUUCAAACGUUUAUCUUAGGCAUUUCGUAAUAACAAUAUGAAGUUGACUGGAAACAAUAUACAACUUCUCAGGUUUUAGAGAGUGGAGCCUUAGUUUUGAGUGAUAGAGGCAUUUGUUGCAUUGAUGAAUUUGACAAAAUGUCUGACAGCGCAAGGAGCAUGUUACACGAGGUUGGUUGUUCUGUUAUUAUUAUUAUAAAUAUAUGGCAGACAUGUACAUUUCUUGACAUGCUAUGACAGUUUGUCCUUUUGUAACUGUAACUUUCUUUCACCUCUUGGAAAUUCUAUAUUCUCUAGCUAUAGCACAAUUGCUUAUCUUUAACUAUUACUAUGUCCAGUAAGAUUACUAUGCUUUUGUAUUAUCUAUAAAUCAAGACUUUCGGGAAACUGCAUUCUAGUAUACCCAUUGAUCAAUCUAUUUCUAGUAUAAACCAAGACUGUUGAGAAAUUAUUAACCAUUUUGAUGGAUCUGUUUUUAAUUAUGCUUAUUUUCACAGGUGAUGGAACAGCAAACUGUGUCAAUAGCAAAGGCUGGAAUCAUUGCUUCCCUUAAUGCUAGGACAUCAGUCCUGGCUUGUGCGAAUCCAAGUGGAUCUCGCUAUAAUCCUCGCUUGUCAGUAAUUGACAACAUUCACCUUCCUCCUACCUUAUUAUCUAGGUAUGAAAUACUUAUCCUAUCCCACUAGAAUGACCAUAGUUUGAGCCAAUAAUGACAAUAAAAGGGCCUAAACUUGGAAUGGACUAUGUAUUUGGCGACUGUUCAUCUAAUUUAAGGAGUUGGUGUAAUAAUUUUGUAUUUCAUUGAAUACUUUUCUGAGGAUUCGUCUAUACAUUAAUAACAUCACCCAUUUUUGUUAUUAACACACCCCAUCUAUGAUGAGAGCCAAUCAUGAAACAAAUUUAAGUGGUAUACUUGUAAAUAAAAUUGAAAUGUGUGGAUAGGAAAAUAGAUGGGGUGUGUUAAUAACAAAAAAGGGUACAUCAGUUAGACUUGCUAGAUAUGUAUAGAGGUAGACUAACUCGAGAUCAAGCCAAACUGGUGGUACUACAUGACAUCAGUCUACCUCUGUAUCAAACCUGUCUACUUGAUGUACCUUUUCAUAAAUGUAGUGUAGAACAUUCCAUUUUCUGAUUUUCUCUUUUUGUUUUUUGGUGUAAUGGGAUUGUCAAAUUUGAGUAUUACAAAGCCAUUGAUAAUAUAGUAGAGUUUAUUACUGACUUGAGCUGGUCUGGUGAUUUUCUCAGGUUCGAUCUGAUCUACUUAAUCCUUGACAAGGCUGAUGAGCAGACAGACAGGCGCCUUGCAAAGCAUAUUGUUGCUUUGCACUUUGAGAAUCCUGAGGUCUGGUGGAUAUGGUUUUUCUGUUCAAGCAAACUGAUAUGACUAAUCCUUUGUUUUACUUAAAUUGCCAUGUCUCCACUUGCAGACUGUACAGCAGGAUGUUUUAGACCUUCCCACGUUGACUGCUUAUGUUGGAUACGCUCGAAAGCAUAUUCACCCACAAUUAUCUGAUGAAGCUGCAGAGGAAUUGACUCGUGGCUAUGUAGAGUUGAGGAGGAGAGGAAAUUUUCCAGGCAGCAGCAAGAAGGUAGAAUGACACAGCAUCUUCCUACAUAUCUCUUCCUGUGAUACUUAUAUUGCAAUAGUAUUAAAACAAUUUUACUGCCUUGUACAUAGGUCACAGAUACCAGUUUUUUAUAGUACUAGAUUUUUCUUCAAUGGUAACAAAUGGCAGUUAAUAGAUAUAAGUUAAUUGUUCCCUCCACAUAGAAAAAAAAAAAUCCUCUCUUUUAUCGUGCUUAUCUUAUUUGGGAUGCCUAUAUAUCAUAUUCAUUUGUGUAAUAACUGUAACAGGUGAUAACUGCAACACCUAGGCAAAUUGAGAGUUUGAUACGUCUUAGUGAAGCUCUAGCUCGGAUUCGGUUUUCAGAAACGGUUAGCAAAGUUUGCAUUCUACCUUGAUGUUUUACACUAAGAUAAACUAAACUAAACCAUGCCCUAAUAUAUGCAGGUUGAGAAGCAUGAUGUAAUGGAGGCAUUUCGGCUUCUAGAAGUUGCAAUGCAACAAUCAGCAACAGAUCACUCCACGGGUACAAGUUUACUGCAGUUGUACAUGUUUUUUCUAUUUCUACCUCCCAUGAAGAGAAACAGUUUAAUGUCAUGAUUUUUUUACUCUAGGAACAAUUGACAUGGAUCUUAUUAAUACUGGAAUUUCGGCAAGUGAAAGAAUGAGACGGGAAAAUCUAGUGUCAUCAGCCCGCAACAUAAUUAUGGAGAAGAUGCAACUUGGGGGACCCUCAAUGCGUUUGUUAGAGGUAUGAUUUCUGAUAAGAUGUGUAUAGAAUCAAAAUCCAAAUGUCUAAAAGACCUAAAACUGACAUCUCAUUGUUCUUAAUUGAUUUUCUGUAGCUGCUGGAGGAGCUGAAGAAGCAGAGUUCUAGCAGCGAAAUUCACCUCAACGAUGUUAGUACAUUCGUCUCUCACCCUCUCUCUAUCGCAUACGCAAUAGUCUCACACUAAUGUGCUUUUAUUGGUAUUUCAGCUUAGGAAUGCACUGGCUACACUUGCAAGUGAGGGAUUUGUGGCUGUUCAGGGCGACAGUGUCAAAAGAGUGUGAUAGGAGGACCAAGAAACGUAUUGGUUGACAUUUGACAUUGCUUUUUAAUUUGUAACAAGAGGCUACUCAAGAUUUUAGUCGAAUGUUCAGUGCUUUUGCUGGUUGAUCAAAUGUAUGUAAAAUUAUUUUCAUGUAGUUGGCAUUAAGGAGUGGAAUGCCAUCAAGUAGCAAGUCGUUAAAGGUAUUGAAGUCUAAAAAUUUGGAAUUUGCAGAAAGUAUUGAUCUUAAUCUGUAAGAGUGCUGAAGUGCUUGGAUCCUCUAUUUCUCAUAUCAGUUUAAAGCAACUAGGUUUCUCAUUUCAGCAACUCAGGGUUCACCUUGUGGCCGGAUCUCAUACUUGUGCAGCCUUAAUUUUCUUCAAGUGCUGCGAGAAAGAAAGAAGUACUAUGCUGGAAGAGAAUACAGAAACUCAAAUUGAAGGCUGGGCACCAUCUUGAAAUAAGCGUAGUCCUCAAAAUUUUAGCCAACCUCGUUAUAACUCUUCACUUUAUAUUUCUCAUUGGACCCGAGUGCAGUAUUUGGCCACCUUUACAACAAUCAAAUUCAUCUCAUAGCAGUCAUGUUGUUUAGAUCUGCACAACAUGAUCCAAAUACUUACGGGUUCAUUUGAUCUGCUUAAUAAUCGUAUAUGCAACAGCUCACUGUUGGCAAGUAAUCCGUCUCGGCAAAACGAUUUUUUUUUUUUGUAUUAGGAGUAAGAUUCUCAUUUACGGACCCCUUGUUGGCCUUUAUGCUAAUUAGGUUUAUGAUACUUUUAUUUAUAACUAGAAUUAUGACCCGCGUUUUGUUGCGGGAUUUGUAAGAUUUGUGUUCAUAAUUUUUCUUCUUUUCUUCUCAUUUAUAAUGUAUCAAAAUGCAAGAUCUAUAUAGAUUGAAUUUGAAAUACUUAACAACAAAACACUUAUUAUUGUAGUAAGAGUAUAUCUUACUAUCAUAUGCAGAGGGAGAGAAUUCGUCUUGUGUUCGUUCGUCGUCCUCUUCUCCUUUCUCCUCCUUUGUCUCUCUCUCUCUCUCCUCGAUCAUGGUCGAAAUUUAUGGAAACCCAAAACAACGCAGGAGACUGUUAAUCAAAACCAAGCAGAUCAGUGAGAUCACCCAGAGAAAGCAAAUUCAACAAACUGUAACCAUUCGCUAGGCUUUGCUCUAUCGCCGCAGCAAAUCCCUAAUCCCUCUGUAUUUGAUCAAGGAAGAGAAGUGAUAUUUCUUCUUUUUCGGAGGUCGAUCUCUCUAUUCCUAUGUAUAGAUCUCUCUCUCUCUUCCCAAUUUCUUAUGUUCUUUCUCCUCGAUUCUUUCUUUCACUUUUUUAUCGGAGACAGAACAGAGCAAAUUUCAGAUGGUCCUUUCUAGAUAGUGUGCGAACUGCGAAACCCAAUC
rnacentral:lncRNA from 1 species